AGCCAACAGGACUACUGGGAGCUCAAGGAGAAGUUUCUCAUAGCUGAGGCUACAAACUUUGCCCUGGCCAAGGAGCUGAAAAAAUACAAUUGUGAGAAGUUUAAAAACAUCAUUGAGUCCAUACUGACCAAGAAGCUCCACUUUGAGGAGCCGCUGGCAGAGAAGCCCACGGUCCCAGAGCUGCUCAGGCAUUGCCGUGGCAUCCUUGAAGAUCAGGACCAAGAACUUUCCCAGUUGCGUCCCAAGGUCCAAAGGGGGAGAAAUCUAGCCCACAUCCUGCAGCAGUUCCUGAAGGACGUGCGCACCCUGCAUGACCCUGAGACCUGCAAGGGGCAGGGCUUCCGACGACUACUCACCGAGGCUGUCCGGCUGUCAGCGUGCCUUGAGGACCUGCUUGGAGCAGAAAAUAUUGAAGAGGAGGAAACACCAGCACAAGGACUUGUUGCUGACAGG